rnacentral:rRNA from 1 species
AAGACCUUGCACUUUUGGAGCGGCCGAUGUCUGAUUAGCUAGUUGGUGGGGUAAUGGCCUACCAAAGCUUCGAUCAGUAGCUGGUCUGAGAGGACGGCCAGCCACACUGGGACUGAGACACGGCCCAGACUCCUACGGGAGGCAGCAGUGGGGAAUUUUGGACAAUGGGCGCAAGCCUGAUCCAGCCAUGCCGCGUGAGUGAAGAAGGCCUUCGGGUUGUAAAGCUCUUUCAGCCGGGAAGAAAAGGUUGCGACGAAUAAUCGCAAUCCAUGACGGUACCGAAAGAAGAAGCACCGGCUAACUACGUGCCAGCAGCCGCGGUAAUACGUAGGGUGCGAGCGUUAAUCGGAAUUACUGGGCGUAAAGGGUGCGCAGGCGGUUUUGUAAGUCAGAUGUGAAAUCCUCGGGCUUAACCUGGGAACU